ACCCUUGAUUUUCUCUGACCAUCCAAAGAGGCCAGGUGAUGACGAUCCAUUGCCUCCGUAUAAUAUGGUGCGGAAUGUCUUGGACAUGAAUGCUCAUUAUGGGGGUUUAAAUGCCGCAUUGUUGGAGGCAGGAAAGUCAGUCUGGGUGAUGAAUGUUGUGCCUCUUGGGGUGCAUAAUACACUUCCUCUGAUACUUGAUCGAGGCUUUGCUGGCGUUUUGCAUAACUGGUGUGAACCCUUUCCUACAUAUCCACGAACAUACGAUUUGCUCCAUGGUAGUGGACUUCUUUCGCACCUUGAAUCACAAGGAUGCAGUAUAGUUGAAGUGCUUUUUGAGAUGGACCGCAUCUUACGGCCAGAGGGAUGGAUUAUUCUCUCUGAUAAAUUGGGCCCUAUAGAGAAAGUGCGGAUGGUAGCAACUCAAAUGCGCUGGGAAGCCAGAGUGGUUGACCUCCAGAAUGGAAGUGACCAACGGCUACUCGUAUGCCAA
rnacentral:misc_RNA from 1 species